CAGAGUUCUAUCAUCCUGCUCAGGAGUACAAUGUUCGUGUAGCCUCAAGGUACUUCAAGGGACCAGAGCUCCUUGUGGACUAUCAGAUGUAUGACUAUAGCUUGGACAUGUGGAGUUUGGGCUGUAUGUUAGCAAGCAUGAUCUUUCGAAAGGAACCCUUCUUCCAUGGACAGGACAACUAUGACCAGCUUGUUCGCAUUGCCAAGGUUCUGGGUACAGAUGAGCUGUAUGGGUAUCUGAAGAAGUAUCACAUAGACCUAGAUCCACACUUCAACGAUAUCCUGGGACAGUAAGUAAGGGAGAGAGAGAGAAAGAGGGCUUUACCUUACCCCAUUUCAGAAGUGGAAAGGUUAGCCAAAAUCACUUUCUUUCCCCUUUUUAAUCAUUUCAAAAUUGAAAAUCCUUUUUUCCCCCAUGCAUAUUUUAUUUUGAGAUAUUUGCACAUUGUUUACAUGUGUCUUCUAAUCAUUUCACUUCUCUGAGAAAUAGCUGUUUAUCUAUAGAAAAUGGAAAACAAAAUCAUAAUGUUAGAGAAAAAAGCUUUCUGGUAUAGCGUAUGCUUAAUUUUAAUGGUAGAUCUUGGAAAGCUAUAAUACUUCUUUGAAUAAAGACUUACUGUUUCUUCUCAUUCUCUGUAAUGGAUUUUGUAUAAGACAGCAAAUUUUAAAACACAUUGAAUUUUCAGGUAUGAUGCAAUUGUGUUAAAAAGUAAAUGUUAUGCUGACAGUUUUCAAAUCAAAAAGUAUUUUAUGGAACCUCCAUGUUUCUGGGGCCAGUCUCUAAAUACAUCUGCUGAUCAAUAAAAAUUACACCUCCAUGCCGGGCGCUGUGGCUCACGCCUGUAAUCCUAGC